AGUAAUAUGACUGAUAUAGGUGAUAAAUUGUAAAUUUAUUUAAAAAUUUGAUUAAGAAUUUUAUUACUA
rnacentral:tRNA from 1 species